UGGGGAAUAUUGGACAAUGGGCGCAAGCCUGAUCCAGCCAUGCCGCGUGAGUGAUGACGGCCUUAGGGUUGUAAAGCUCUUUCGCACGCGACGAUAAUGACGGUAGCGUGAGAAGAAGCCCCGGCUAACUUCGUGCCAGCAGCCGCGGUAAUACGAAGGGGGCUAGCGUUGCUCGGAAUCACUGGGCGUAAAGGGCGCGUAGGCGGGUCCUUAAGUCGAGGGUGAAAGCCCGUGGCUCAACCACGGAAUGGCCUUCGAUACUGGGGAUCUUGAGUCUGGUAGAGGUUGGUGGAACUGCGAGUGUAGAGGUGAAAUUCGUAGAUAUUCGCAAGAACACCGGUGGCGAAGGCGGCCAACUGGACCAGCACUGACGCUGAGGCGCGAAAGCGUGGGGAGCAAA
rnacentral:rRNA from 1 species